rnacentral:rRNA from 1 species
UUCAGAAUCUUGCACAAUGGACGAAAGUCUGAUGCAGCCAUGCCGCGUGUGCGAAGAAGGCCUUCGGGUCGUAAAGCACUGUCAGAGGGAAAGAUCAUGACGGUACCCUCAAAGGAAGCCACGGCUAAUUACGUGCCAGCAGCCGCGGUAAUACGUAAGUGGCGAGCGUUAUCCGGAAUUACUGGGCGUAAAGCGUUCGUAGGCGGUGCAGAAAGUUGGGUUUGAAAGCCCGGGGCUCAACUCCGGACCC